AGUUUUUACAUUAUAAAAGUGAUGAAACAAUUCUUUGUUUGAAACAUGCAAAUGUGAAAAAAUAUGGUUGGAAUUUUCAAGUUUGUGUAUGUUAUAAUCAUUUAUCUUUUCCUAUUUCUUAUUGUAGCGAAAGUCAGUGCAUAUAUAGGUCAAUCCUGUAUCUACGAUUUUCAAUGUCAAAAUUUACUUUGCAAAAACAAUCUUAUUGGGUUGUGCUUGAUGGGUCAAUGUACGUGCUUGUAGUAGUUAUAUAAUCAAAAUGAUUCAGAGCUAAUUCUAAGCGCCAAUAAAUUCUAAAUUCUUAUAUGAUGUAAAUUUAUUAUAAUUAAAGUUUUUAUCA